UACGAAGGGGGCUAGCGUUGUUCGGAAUUACUGGGCGUAAAGCGCACGUAGGCGGACUAUUAAGUCAGGGGUGAAAUCCCGGGGCUCAACCCCGGAACUGCCUUUGAUACUGGUAGUCUCGAGUCCGGAAGAGGUGAGUGGAACUCCGAGUGUAGAGGUGAAAUUCGUAGAUAUUCGGAGGAACACCAGUGGCGAAGGCGGCUCACUGGUCCGGUACUGACGCUGAGGUGCGAAAGCGUGGGGAGCAAACAGG
rnacentral:rRNA from 1 species